UACGUAGGGUGCGAGCGUUAAUCGGAAUUACUGGGCGUAAAGCGUGCGCAGGCGGUUUUGUAAGCCAGAUGUGAAAUCCCCGGGCUUAACCUGGGAAUGGCAUUGGUGACUGCACGGCUAGAGUGUGUCAGAGGGGGGUAGAAUUCCACGUGUAGCAGUAGAAAUGCGUAGAGAUCCGGAAGAACACCGGUGGCGAAGGCGGCCUGCUGGGCAGUUUAGCUGACACUGGAGGCGCGACAGCGUGGGGAGCAAACAGG
rnacentral:rRNA from 1 species